AUUCCAGGUUGACUCCACCAGCGAGAAUCACAGGUAGAACGGUCAGAGUAGCGGGAGGACUGGGAAGGUGGGAAGUGGGAGGACCGUCCAACAUGGCGCUGUGGAAAGCCAGCGCAGGGCCCCAGGGGAUCUUCCGGGGCGGAUGCAGCUGCCUAGGAGUGCUGGGGCUCGCGCGCCUCGGCGGCUCAAACUCUGACCCCUUGAGAUCCUUUCCAGCCCGACCCCUUACUUUAGGGGUCAGCCUGCCCCCGCGCCGCUGCCGCCUCGCCUCGGGCGUGGACCCUGCGGCUCGGGCCUGCGCGUGUGCACCCCGAGGUUGUCUCACUUCCUGUUCAGGGCGACCAGCGCUGCGCCCUCCCCACUCCACAGAUGAGGAAGCUGAGGUUAAAGUCACUUGCCCCAGGUCACUCCGCAAGUUGAAGCGCAACCAGGAUACUCUGGAACAGGAUGCCUGACUUCAGAGGAGAGGCGCGUAACCACCAGGCAACUGGCCCCACGAAAACAAGUCCCGCAACUUCCCUUCUUUGGCUCCUACUUGCUCCCGGAAGAAAAGCCUUAAACGGUAUUCAAGCCCUUUAGGAUCUGAUGUCCUAGGACUCCACUCUGGGCUUCCAGCCUGGGGUGGUACUGGUCCCUAGGCAUGGAAGCUCCUCCCACUGCCCCUUCCUUCACCCGGCCACCUCCUCCCACAGGUGUCUUCCUGGUACUCUUGCACAGGCCCGAGUCCCUUACCACCACGGCCUUAGCCUGCUCUCGUGCUCUCAGUAAUGUUUUCUCCAUUUGCUGCCUUUCAUUCUUUCCAGAGAUUCUUGCUCAACCCAACCAGGCCAGCCCGGGGACUAGGGACAUGUAGGGACAAUAGUCCCUGCUUCAGGCAGUUCAGGGCAGACCACAGAGAUGUGACAUUACAGACCAUUGUGAGCAGAGGCCUUGUCCCAUUCUGUGUUGCAUCCCUAAGCCAGGAACAAAGUCCAGCCCAGGCCUGGCUCCAGGGGACACGCAGUAGUAUCCUCUGGCCUGUGCAAGUGUAUCUGUAGCCUCACAUGCCACCAUGUGAGUCUGCAAUCUGUCUGUGAAUGCCCUGGUGUAGAAGCCAGGAGUUUGGAGGUGGGAGGGAGCCCUACAGAAUGAUAGCCAGUGCUAACUCCUGGGAAUGUCCAGCCACUAAGACCUGCCCACAGCCCUGCCAUGCCAAUGUCCUCCUUUUCACGGGAGCAGCUUGCACAGACUUUCAGCGCACAGCUGGCAUUGUCUUCCCAGGAGCCAUCCUGUAACCCAGGCCAGGUGAAGGGCUCCUCCCUGGGACCCCACAGCCCCGUUCCCAUCAUCCUUUUGUGGUGAUCAAGGCACCCAUCACACAGUAUUGCCAUAAACCGGGUCAGGUUAACCUUUCAUUCCCUUAGGAGCUGGGUGGGGGCAGCCAAAAGUAUUUGUAGGAGGAAGAGAGAAAGGAGGGGACAGAGCUAGGAAGAAUGGGAGGACGGUCAGAACGCCCCUGUGAAGGAAGGAGAGCACCAAGUCCCCGUGUUCUGCCUACCCUCCCCCAGACAGCAGAUCAGGAGCACCCCGCGCGCCCCCCCCCGCCCCGCCCCGCGUCGGCGCCGGCCCCCUGCAAUGGUUGGCGGUAUGGGGAGGUGAACCAAGAAGGCCAGGAGUUCAAGUGCGUGAUCCCCCACUGGGGCAUAUAGGUUACAGCCGCCAGGGCAACUGAAACUCCUCAGGCUCCAGAGGGCUGAAGUGAGUCGCCUCCACGUUCUUGAGGUGCUUCCGAGCCAGGAACAGUGCGAGGCGCCGGCGCCGCCGCGAGCUCAGGCCCUGGCCCACCAGCCAUGGGAAGGCGGGUCCGUGUGGCCCCAGGGCCUCCUCGCCCUCCAGCUCCUCUUCGCAGCGUGCACGGUAGGAGCGCAGCAGCGCCAGGCACCAGUCCUCGUCCACGCGGUAGCGUGCAUAGAAGGCGGCCUCCUGCGCCAAGCUGCCAGCGCGCAGCCAGCGGGUGACGACGGCGCGGCCCUCUCGCGCCAUCACGACGGGGUAGCGGUGCUCCAGCAGGCGCAGCAGCAGCUCAUUGCCCCGGUUGCCCUCCACGUCACCAGGUGACAGGGGGCGCAGGCGGCCCGAAGUGCUGACCACGUCAUCCUGCGUGCGUCGGAGCAGCAGCACCGGCCCCGGGUAGCAGCACAGCUGCUCGGCCACGUUGAGGUUGAAGUGCUCGCGCACGGUGCGCACCACCAGCCCCUUCCAACUGUGGGGCAUGACCUUCAGCGCCAGCGGCACAAGGUCGUCGAAGGUGGCGUCCAGCACCAGUGCACCCAGCUCCGGGUAGGUCAUGGUGGCCCAGGUGGCCGUGAAGCCGCCAACAGACCAGCCGUAGACCACCAGGUGCGCGGGCGGGAAGUGCAGGCGGUGCAGUGCGUACUCGACCACCACGUCCAUGGCGUUGGCGUCGUGCUGAGGGAAGGGCACGCCAGUGCUGCUGCCGAAGCCGGGGUGGUUCCAGCCCAGCACGGAGUAGCCGGCCUCGAGCGGUGCAGACAGACAGCCCAUCUCGUAGAAGCCCGCGUUGCCUUCGCAGCAGAUGACGAGGCGCGGCCCGUGCACGUGGCUGCCCGGGUGCUGGCGGCGGUCCAUGAACAUAGUGUCGAUCUCGUUGCCGUCACAGGCCACCAGCUUGGCGCGCCGGCCGUGGUAGCGCUCCACGAGGCGCUCUUGGCCCUGCUGCAGCAGCGGCAGCAGCGCGCGCGUCAUCAGGGACACGGAGCCGGGGUACACGAGCCAGCGGCCCAGCGAGUGGGCCAGCGCGUAGCUAGCGAGCUGGCCGGGCAGCUCGCGGAGCUGCUGCAAGAGGCACUGCGCCUGGCUGCGCGCCCCACGUGGAGGCCGCCCCAGCGCAUCCCCGCCCAGCGUCUCGUCCCGCAGCAACCACACGCCCGCCGCGGCUGCCGCGCAGGUCAGCGCCCGGUGGCUGCUGCUCCGGCCCACGGCGCGCACGUCAUCCCAGCGGAAGGCCACGGGCCAGCCGCGGAAUGGGUAGGUGUAGCUGGCGGUCAGGUAGAUCUUGAACACGCGCACCAGCGCCUUCACGAAGCAGAUGACGCACAUGAGCGGUGGCCCUAACGCCCAGCCGCUGGGCCGGGAUCGCCGCGAGAGGCACAGGGCAGUCUUAGGGGAUACCGGCUCCCGGACAAGCCCUGAUGGCCUUUGUGACCUGGCCUUCCAGGGCGGAGGGAAGGCUGCAUCCUGUUGCUAGGUGAUGGGUGCACAAAGGGUUCCCAGAGAUGAUGAACCCAAGGUUCUGCCCGUCCCCCGCCUUCGCCAAGACCCCACCAGCUAAACGCUCCCAGGCCCAGCUUUCCCACCCAUGAUUUGAGCAGCUACUGUCUCCCUCUUUCUUCCUUAUUUAUUUAUUAAAUUGAGAUGGGGUCUCA
rnacentral:lncRNA from 1 species